CUCGUAGGCGGUUCGUCGCGUCCGGUGUGAAAGUCCAUCGCUUAACGGUGGAUCCGCGCCGGGUACGGGCGGGCUUGAGUGCGGUAGGGGAGACUGGAAUUCCCGGUGUAACGGUGGAAUGUGUAGAUAUCGGGAAGAACACCAAUGGCAAAGGCAGGUCUCUGGGCCGUUACUGACGCUGAGGAGCGAAAGCGUGGGGAGCGAACA
rnacentral:rRNA from 1 species